UCUUUCCUAUCCCUCCCAUUCC
rnacentral:miRNA from 1 species